CCUUAACAUGUCAAAUAAGUACUAAAACAUGAACUUUCUGUUGCUUGGAAAUCUGUUUUAACGAGUUUUAUGUUAGAAGUGCUCUAUGUUUAAAUUAGAUUGGGGUUUAUCAGAAGAAAAUUGGAUGUAGCACCAAAUGUCGAUACCACCAGUGAAUUACAAUAUUCCGCCUCCUUCACUUAAUGUACCUCCACCGGUACCUCCUCCGGUGGUACCGAUUGUUCCUCCGGUACCACCACCUCAGUAUUACAACCAUCCUCCGCCAUACGGAGGCAAUAUAUCACUAAACGUGCAGCCCUAUUUAAACAUGCCAAGUGGAUUACCACCUUUGAAUGUCCCUCCUCCUGUUUCUUAUCGUCCAUCCACCGAGGUGUCUGUCUCUUUCCCCGUCCCUACCAAUCCUUCAAGCUAUCCUUACCGUCAACUUGGUUAUGGAAGCCAUGACAGAAAUGCUUACAAUAAAUACAAAACUGAAGCAGUUAGUCGAACAUCAAAUGAUUAUGGUUCAAAGGAAAGACAUUCUGGUUCUUCAAAAAAUCAUCCAAAAGAUGUACCAACUAGUUCCAGAUCGAGAUAUUCCCGACGUGAAUCAAGUUAUGAAAGAGAGAGAAGUUACGAAAGGGAGAGGAAACGAGACAGGGACCAUAGUUUUGAAAGAAGAAAAGAUCGAGAAUUCAAAGAGGCAAAAUAUAGGGAACUUAGGAGAUCUAGAAGUCCAUCGAGGUACUAUGACCGUUGUAGAGAUAGGGAAAGAUAUAUUGAUCACCGUGAACGAGAUAGAAGAUAUGACUAUAAAAGGUCACAUAGCCCUUAUCAUAGAGACUACAGAAGCCACAGUAGAAGCAUUGAUUCCCGAGAUAGUAGACGGGACAGGAGAUCACCAAGUAGACUAAGUGAGAGAUCAUCUAGGAGGGAGUCCCAUUCCCAUAGCAGAGCUAGAGACAGGUCACCUAGUUACUAUCAUGAGUCAACCCCAAAAAGACCUCUAACAGAUCGUGAAAAGAUCUUAGAAGACUACAGGAAAAACUACUGUGAGACAUCAGGAGAGUUCAUAAAGAAAAUGGAACAGUGGUCUAAGGAACAUCAUUCUGAUGAAGAAGAGACAUCAAAAAUGUGGUACCGAAGUUCACCAGCUGAGUUGUACUACAAACCAACACCAGAUGGCAUAGGUGUGAUGCAAACAAGUAAACUAGAGAAACGCUGCAAUACAUUCUUUAAGGAAUUAAUUGAAAGAGGAAGGAAGGCAAGACCUGAAGUGGAUGAAUUGCCUCCAUUAAGGCCAUCCCGAGGGAAGGCUUGUAAACAUAGAUUGGAUGACAAAAGUUCAUCAUCAUCAGACAGUGAUGAAUGUAUGGAUGAAGAUGGUUUACAGGGCUAUUCUGAUAGAAUUAUGAUGGAGCUCCAGAGAAAACAGAGCCACCCGAGACGACUUCAUCCUGAAAUGUGGUUUAACAACACAGGUGAGAUGAAUGGCGGACCGCUAUGUCGGUGCAGUGCGCGCGCGAGACGCUACGGCAUGAGGCACGGUGUAUACGCCGGCGAGGAGACAUACCCCAAAUGUAUACCUACUGAGAGUAAUAUUGACAAACUGUACCAUUAUAGAAUAACAGUGUCCCCACCAACAAACUUCUUGAUCAAGGCCCCAACGAUCAUAGCACAUGAUGAACACGAGUUCCUCUUCUCUGGGUUUUCAAUGUUCUCUCACUACAAGCUCGCAAAGUUACCUACGUGCAAGGUGAUAAGGUUCAAUAUUGAAUACACCAUAUUAUAUGUGGAGGAACCAGCACCUCAGAACUUCUCAAUACAGGAAUUGGAUCUAUUUGAGGAAUAUUUGUUCUACGAGUUGUUAGAACUAGUAGACUUGGAUCUUGGUAAAGCGACUGAAACAACAUGUUCCCAGUUUCAUUUCAUGCCACGGUUCGUAAGGUAUCUACCUGAAGGAGGAUGUGAGGUUCUAUCAAUGUGUGAAGUACUAAAAUAUUUAAUAGACGAGAGUGGUCUGCUGAUACCACCUGACACAUUGGAAGAGGUCCACAGCAUGGAUCAUUACAAAUGGCAGAAAUUUGUUGACAGGAUUAAAGGAAUGAUUGUGACGUAUCCGGGUAAGAAGCCAUGUUCAGUGCGCGUGGACCAGCUGGACCGCAGUCCCCCGGUCAGUAAGGAGAUGAAAGAUCCCAACGCAGUCAAGAAGUACUAUCCUGAAAUAGUACACUUCGGCAUCCGACCGCCGCAACUCAGCUAUGCCGGAAACCCUGAAUAUCAAAAGGCGUGGCGUUAUUACGUAAAGUACAGACAUCUGAUCGCCAACAUGGCCAAGCCGUCGUACAAGGAGCGGCAGAAGUUGGCCGCCAAGGAGGCCAAGCUGCAGGAGAUGCGCACGCAGACCAAGAUGAAGCGAGAUGUCACCGUCGCCAUCUCCUCUGAGGGAUUUCAUACCACCGGCCUUAUGUGUGAUGUCGUACAACAUGCGAUGCUAAUCCCAGUUCUAGUUAGACAUCUUCGCUUCCAUAAAUCUUUGGAUAGUUUGGAGAAGAAGAUAGGUUAUGUGUUCAAGAAGCGAUUACUGCUGCAGACUGCGUUCACACAUCCUUCAUACAGAGAGAACUUUGGCACCAAUCCUGAUCAUGCGAGGAACAGUCUCACUAAUUGUGGCAUACGACAGCCCGAGUAUGGAGAUAGGAGAAUACAUUACACUAGGAAAAAGGGUAUCGUGACAUUAAUAAACAUAAUGUCCCGCUUCGGCAAACGCAGCGAGACCGAGUCAGAGAUCAAGCACAACGAGCGGCUGGAGUUCCUCGGAGAUGCGGUGGUGGAGUUCCUCUCCUCCAUACAUCUGUUCCGAAUGUUCCCCGGACUGGCGGAGGGAGGACUGGCUACAUACAGAGCCUCCAUUGUACAGAAUCAACAUCUAGCGCAAUUGGCCAAGAACAUAGAGCUGGAGCAGUACAUGCUGUACGCGCACGGCUCAGACCUGUGUCGCGAGCUGGUGAUGAGACACGCGAUGGCCAACUGCUUCGAGGCCCUCAUGGGCGCGCUCUUCCUCGACGCCGGACUUGAGGUGACAGACCGCGUGUUCGCGAUGGCGCUGUGGCACGGCGCGCCCGCGCUGCUGGAUGUGUGGAACAAGGAGCGUCUGCACCCGCUGCAGGAACAGGAGCCGCUCGGGGACAGGAAGUACAUCAAGGACUUUGAGUUCCUCCAGAAGUUGACCGAGUUUGAAGACUCUAUUGGUGUACAAUUUAAACACAUCCGUCUGUUGGCGCGCGCGUUCACGGACCGCUCUGUGGGGUUCACACACCUGACGCUGGGCUCCAACCAGCGCCUGGAGUUCCUCGGAGACACCGUGCUGCAGCUCGUCGUCUCCGACAGGCUCUACCGGCACUUCCCCGACCACCACGAGGGACAUCUCUCGUUACUCCGUUCGUCGUUGGUGAACAAACGCACUCAGGCAAUGGUGUGCGAUGACCUCAAUAUGUCUGCUUACGCCAUUUAUAACAACCCCAAAGCAAAACCCACCACAAAGAAACACAAGGCUGACUUACUGGAGGCCUUCUUGGGCGCACUUUAUAUCGACAAGAAUCUAGACUACUGCCAGGCGUUCUGUAACGCGUGCCUGUUCCCGCGGCUGCAGGAGUUCAUCCUGAACCAGGACUGGAACGACCCCAAGUCCAAGCUGCAGCAGUGCUGCCUCACGCUGCGCUCCAUGGAGGGAGGAGAGCCGGAUAUACCCUUGUAUAAGGUGAUCGAGUGCUUGGGGCCGACGAACACUCGCGUGUACUCUGUGGGUGUGUACUUCCGCGGCACCAGACUUGCGGCGGCGCGCGGACAUUCCAUACAGGAGGCGGAGAUGAACGCCGCAGAGCUCGCGCUCAACUCCGCACACGGUAACCUCACACUUGUUACAUUUUACACUCUCAUAUAUCAUACAUAACAUACAGGAGGCGGAGAUGAACGCCGCAGAGCUCGCGCUCAACUCCGCACACGGUAACCUCACACUUGUUACAUUUUACACUCUCAUAUAUCAUACAUAACAUACAGGAGGCGGAGAUGAACGCCGCAGAGCUCGCGCUCAACUCCGCACACGGUAACCUCACACUUGUUACAUUUUACACUCUCAUAUAUCAUACAUAACAUACAGGAGGCGGAGAUGAACGCCGCAGAGCUCGCGCUCAACUCCGCACACGGUAACCUCACACUUGUUACAUUUUACACUCUCAUAUAUCAUACAUAACAUACAGGAGGCGGAGAUGAACGCCGCAGAGCUCGCGCUCAACUCCGCACACGGUAACCUCACACUUGUUACAUUUUACACUCUCAUAUAUCAUACAUAACAUACAGGAGGCGGAGAUGAACGCCGCAGAGCUCGCGCUCAACUCCGCACACGGUAACCUCACACUUGUUACAUUUUACACUCUCAUAUAUCAUACAUAACAUACAGGAGGCGGAGAUGAACGCCGCAGAGCUCGCGCUCAACUCCGCACACGGUAACCUCACACUUGUUACAUUUUACACUCUCAUAUAUCAUACAUAACAUACAGGAGGCGGAGAUGAACGCCGCAGAGCUCGCGCUCAACUCCGCACACGGUAACCUCACACUUGUUACAUUUUACACUCUCAUAUAUCAUACAUAACAUACAGGAGGCGGAGAUGAACGCCGCAGAGCUCGCGCUCAACUCCGCACACGGUAACCUCACACUUGUUACAUUUUACACUCUCAUAUAUCAUACAUAACAUACAGGAGGCGGAGAUGAACGCCGCAGAGCUCGCGCUCAACUCCGCACACGGUAACCUCACACUUGUUACAUUUUACACUCUCAUAUAUCAUACAUAACAUACAGGAGGCGGAGAUGAACGCCGCAGAGCUCGCGCUCAACUCCGCACACGGUAACCUCACACUUGUUACAUUUUACACUCUCAUAUAUCAUACAUAACAUACAGGAGGCGGAGAUGAACGCCGCAGAGCUCGCGCUCAACUCCGCACACGGUAACCUCACACUUGUUACAUUUUACACUCUCAUAUAUCAUACAUAACAUACAGGAGGCGGAGAUGAACGCCGCAGAGCUCGCGCUCAACUCCGCACACGGUAACCUCACACUUGUUACAUUUUACACUCUCAUAUAUCAUACAUAACAUACAGGAGGCGGAGAUGAACGCCGCAGAGCUCGCGCUCAACUCCGCACACGGUAACCUCACACUUGUUACAUUUUACACUCUCAUAUAUCAUACAUAACAUACAGGAGGCGGAGAUGAACGCCGCAGAGCUCGCGCUCAACUCCGCACACGGUAACCUCACACUUGUUACAUUUUACACUCUCAUAUAUCAUACAUAACAUACAGGAGGCGGAGAUGAACGCCGCAGAGCUCGCGCUCAACUCCGCACACGGUAACCUCACACUUGUUACAUUUUACACUCUCAUAUAUCAUACAUAACAUACAGGAGGCGGAGAUGAACGCCGCAGAGCUCGCGCUCAACUCCGCACACGGUAACCUCACACUUGUUACAUUUUACACUCUCAUAUAUCAUACAUAACAUACAGGAGGCGGAGAUGAACGCCGCAGAGCUCGCGCUCAACUCCGCACACGGUAACCUCACACUUGUUACAUUUUACACUCUCAUAUAUCAUACAUAACAUACAGGAGGCGGAGAUGAACGCCGCAGAGCUCGCGCUCAACUCCGCACACGAACUAUUCCCGCAAUUGGAUCACCAGAAGAGAGUGAUUGCGAAAAGCGUUAGAAAGAAGAAGAACAAGCGU